AACGUACUCCCUCCGUCCGAAAAUACUUGUCGGAGAAAUGGAUACAAAUGAAUGUAUUUAGAACUAAAAUACAUCUAGAUUCAUCCAUUCCUCGGACAAGUAUUUUUGGACGGAGGGAGUAUUAU
rnacentral:pre_miRNA from 1 species